CGCAACGCACUUCGCCCGUGCCCCUCGCCCUUCGCCCGUUGCCUUCGCGCCUGCGAUAUGCCAUCGCGGCCACCAUAGCGAUUAUCAAUUGCCUGAUUUAGUAUCGAAUUCUUUUACAACUAGGCUAGUUGCAGCGGCUGCGCGACGACGCAAACUUACUCAGGGCAAUUUUAUGAUAGAUGUAAUGGUUGUAUAAAUUACUUUGAAACAUUAUUGUGGGGCUCAGUGCAUUUGUCACAUGGGACGCGGGACCCAGUCCCCAAUAUAGACCCGGACGCGUGCGCCUACCGCGCAGUAUUCGGACGCUUCUAUAACUGUUCUGCUGACGAUACCUCGCUACUCAAAGCCCUCAACUCACCUCAGAGUACAGUGACAGAUCCUCUUUAUCUAUUGCGACUGCUAAAAUGGCCGCAGUGCGGCAGCCACCGCCGCAGUCGCUGGAGGCGCAGGUCGCUGCGCUCCAGGCCCAGGUGGCGCAGGUCGCUGCGCUCCAGGCCCAGUUCUCUGCGCUCCAGGCUCAGGUGGCGCAGACACGCGGGUACCACUCCGGCAAGUCCCUAGGGACUGCGUGUGUCCAAUGCCCUAGACUGCCGAAAUGUUAUCAUGUGACAUAUAAUAAGGUCCCUGAAUGAUUUCCGGGCAUAAACUCGAGCGGGAGCCGAAGUCGAAAUGCUAAAUGUCGCGCUCGCCAGGACUUACUGGAAUUCGCCCUACGCUGUCCGGAUGACAUAUAUAGGUGAACCUUAGUAGACGGCACUAGAUACAGGCCCAAAAUACCGCCUAUGCGAGAUAUGGGCUCUGGUCAAUUUCGCGACUUGAGCCCUGACCAACAUGUUUUGUCCUCUGCCGAGCGCUAAUGUCCACUAAUGAUGUAAGUUAUGUACCUACAAAAAGGCGGCGUCUAAAUAUUGCGGUAGGAUUUGCCUCGGGCGACUCCCAAAGCCCUCCGAGCGUGCGGGUUUGGCUUGGAGCACGCACCCCCCCGGACAAUUGUGCACAUAACUUUCUGAUGCCUACUCCUUUUACAGUGGCGAUUGCGUAUCCUGCAUACACUGUGCGUACGCUAUCCGUCACGCUAUCACGCUUGUAGUUUUCACGACGAAAAUAUUUGCGUGUCCCAUUGCACACCCCAUGCACGGCUGCAGCCGUACGGCCUUUCAGGUUUCAUCUGCUCAGCUCCGCACCAUAGUAACCGUAUACUACACAACGAUACGAAGCCGUGGGUAUGCUGGCGGUCUUGUCAGAUGAUACCUGUUGGGUCUACCAGGCUGUCAAAGUUUGGACACAGCAAAAGACCAGAGUGGUACCCGCGUGGGCGCAGAUCCCUGCGCUCCAGGCCCAGAUGGCGCAGUUCCGGGCCGAGCUGGCGCAGGUUCGCGCCGAGGUCGCGGCAAACAAGACAGACAACGGGUGGCUCAGCAAGGGUGAGUUCCGGGGAUAUGUUCCUCAAGGCCGAGGCUGUCGAGUGCUCAGUUCUUGUGUCCAGUGUCUGCUGAGCAAAGAAUGUCUAUUUCGCAUUCAUACGCGCAGAGGAUUUCGCACAGUUCCUGCAUCUGGCGCUGUCGUUCUGCGGCUUCACCGGUCCAGCGCACGAGAAGCAGGCUUAGCGGCUGCCUCCCCCCUUUUCACAGUCGUGGAUGCGCUCGCGGCCUGCAACGGGGUGCACGGCGCCAUCCUGCAGGUCAACGCCUCUUCAGCAAAGGCUGUUGGUUGGGUCCUGCUGGUUGUUGCUGUGGCGCUCUUCGUGGUGCGCUACGUGCUGAUCCCGGUCCAGCGGGGCCGCGUGGCGCCGGCACCCACCGUCGUGGACUGGUAUCAGCACGUAACGCACCAUGAAGUGCGCCACAGCAACAACCAGCAGGGCACAACCAACAGCCUUUGCCGAAGAGGCCUUGACCUGCAGGAUGACGCCGAGCACCCCGUUGCAGGCCGCGAGCGCAUCCACGACUGCGUGCCAGGGUACUGCGGGGACCGGGCGCUUCGGGCGUACGCGGGCGGGCAGUACUGCGAGAAGUUUGACCGUUGAGGCGUUGACCCAGGGAGGGUGCUCGGAUGGAUGGGGUAGCUGGGUUGCUGGGCGUGGGCUAGCACCGUCGAGUAGUAGAUAUGGGCAUGUUUGUUUUAUAGCCCCAAUACCAUGGAACGCUGCGGAUGAUGGCUGUUCCUGUUUGUAUUUUAGAUUGAGAUGCAAGAGGGGCUCAGGGUUACGGUGCCUGCGUGGGACGCAUGCACGCGGAGCAGAGUGCCAGCGUAGAAGCCGUGCACACAUGUCGUGUAGCACUAGCAGGCACCGUAACUCUGAGCCCCUCUUGCAUCUCAAUCUAAAAUACAAACAGGAACAGCCAUCAUCUGCAGCGUUCCAUGGUAUCGGGGCUAUAAAACAAACAUGCCCAUAUCUACUGUUAGUACUGGCAUUACGCGAAACCGCACCAUGCUAUGCAUUCAUACAACAUUGGUUACCCUGCAGUGAGGUUCAUGUAUGUGAUGUAUGCAUGUGUACAUCAAUAGUGGUUGCGGCAGGUUGCGGCUGCUUGUGCACAUUACACGAAGUAGUGGCGCAAUUAGUCAACCAGGUCGUCUGAGCAUAGCACUGGGAUUGUGCCUUAAACAAGCAGGUCAUCUGAGCAUAGCACGGGGAUUGUGCCGAAGCACGCAGUUUCGAAUCGGAGAGAGAAAGUCCGUAUGGGGGGCGGCUCGAGAGAUUAGGAGUCUGCAGUUCGGGCCCCAUAGGUCCGGGCUGGCGGCGCGAGCGAAGCUGGCGGCGCGAGCGAAGCUGCCGUCGGCCCGGGUGCUAAAUUGGACUUGCCGUCGUAGCUGACUUCUGGGGUCGUCUCCAGACGUUUGUGACUGUGGGUAUCAGGCCAAAGGGUUGGGACACUGUGCCGUCUGCGCAUCCUUUCAUCUCUCGGGCUGUUGGUGACGGCAUGGUUUUGCGCUUGCCGUAUGACGCUGAUUCCCUGCCUCCCUCGCCAUGAGAGGUUGUGAUUGGUUGGUGGCUUUGUGUGUGGGCAGGACGCACGUGUGGGCGACCAUUCUAGUGCGUGGACGCUUGCGCCCUGGUUUGUGCGUGCGCUGUGCGUGUGUCCUGCGGCCUAGACGUUUCCCGGCACUUCUGUGCCUAGGCUUGUGGCGUUGAGGCACAGCGGUGGGGCUCUGGCGGGUUGAGGCUUGGCUAGGACUCACUGUGCGCGGAGUCACACGGACUUGUCCGCGGGAGGGUUUGCAGCAAAGUCGGGGUUGGUGGAGUCAAGUUGGGCCCUGAUAGCAUGUGAUGGCUCGGCGUCUUCGGGUGCUGGGCCUGUCCCCUCUGUAACAUCCGCCUUCUUAAAUGUCUCUUUCCCCGGGGUCCCGCGCCCGCGCCCGGCUAGCCGUUUGCGGUGCUUGCGUGGGAUGUGGGUGAGGUGCAUCUGGGAUAUCAUAUACCGUGGAGUGGCGUGGGCAAGGUGGCGUGGCGGCG
rnacentral:lncRNA from 1 species